rnacentral:rRNA from 1 species
AACCUCAAAUCAGGUAGGGAUACCCGCUGAACUUAAGCAUAUCAAUAAGCGGAGGAAAAGAAACCAACAGGGAUUGCCCUAGUAACGGCGAGUGAAGCGGCAAAAGCUCAGAUUUGGAAUCUGGCGUCAUUGUGGCGUCCGAGUUGUAGUCUGAAGAGGGGAAUUCAAGUGUAGCUUUGGCUUAAGUUCCUUGGAACAGGACGUCAUAGAGGGUGAGAACCCCGUUAAUGGCCUUUGUCUUAUGCUUAUGUGAAUCUCCUUCAAUGAGUCGAGUUGUUUGGGAAUGCAGCUCUAAAUGGGUGGUAAAUUCCAUCUAAAGCUAAAUACUGGCAAGAGACCGAUAGCGCACAAGUAGAGUGAUCGAAAGAUGAAAAGAACUCUGAACAGAGAGUUAAAUAGUACGUGAAAUUGUUGAAAGGGAAGCACUUGUAACCAGACACGCUUGCAGCUGAUCAAUUCUGAUUUUUGAGGAUGCACUCAGUUGUUAGCGAGCCAACAUCGGUCAUGGUGACAGGAAAAAGACCAAGGAAAGGUAGCUCCUUUCGGGGAGUGUUAUAGUCCUGGGUGUAAUGCUGCCUACUAUGAUGAGGACCGCGCUUGG